GUCUUUUUGAUUAUAAUAUAAAGUCUGGCCUGCCCAAUGAUUAAUUUAAUGGCCGCGGUAUUUUAACCGUGCAAAGGUAGCAUAAUCAUUAGUUUUUUAAUUGAAAACUGGAAUGAAUGGUUUGACGAGAAAUUAUUUGUCUCUUGUUUAUAAAUUGAAUUUUAUUUAUAAGUUAAAAAGCUUAUAUGAUUUUAAAAGACGAGAAGACCCUAUAGAGUUUUAUAUAAAUUGAAAAUUUUUUAAUUUUGAGUUUAUAUUUUGUUGGGGAGAUAGAAAAAUUUAAAAAACUUUUUUUUUAUUUAUUUACUUAUAAGUAUAAAUUUGAUCUUUAAUUUAUGAUUAAAAGAUUAAAUUACCUUAGGGAUAACAGCGUAAUUUAUUUUUAGAGUUCUUAUCAAAAAAUAAGUUUGCGACCUCGAUGUUGGAUUAAAAUUUAAUUAUAAUGAAGAAGUUAUAAUUUUUGGUCUGUUCGACCAUUAAAAUUUU
rnacentral:rRNA from 1 species